UCCCUGGAGGACUAGUGGUUAGGCCACAGCGUGCUGACUGCUGCAGCCCGGAUUCGAUUCCUGGGCAGGGAA